rnacentral:tRNA from 1 species
UGAACCAUCGCAGAACGGUAAUGCAGCGGCUUGCUAAGCCGUCGCCGCGGACACCCGCGGCCUGGGGGUUCGAAUCCCUCGACUUCCG